GUAGGGAAUUUUCGGCAAUGGGCGAAAGCCUGACCGAGCAACGCCGCGUGAGGGAGGAAGUAUUUCGGUAUGUAAACCUCUGUUAUAAAGGAAGAACGGCGCAUGUAGGGAAUGACAUGCGAGUGACGGUACUUUAUGAGAAAGCCACGGCUAACUACGUGCCAGCAGCCGCGGUAAUACGUAGGUGGCGAGCGUUAUCCGGAAUCAUUGGGCGUAAAGAGGGAGCAGGCGGCAACUAGGGUCUGCGGUAAAAGACCGAAGCUAAACUUCGGUAAGCCGUGGAAACCGAGGAGCUAGAGUGCAGUAGAGGAUCGUGGAAUUCCAUGUGUAGCGGUGAAAUGCGUAGAUAUAUGGAGGAACACCAGUGGCGAAGGCGACGAUCUGGGCUGCAACUGACGCUCAGUCCCGAAAGCGUGGGGAGCAAAUAGGAUUAGAAACCCGAGUAGUCC
rnacentral:rRNA from 1 species